rnacentral:lncRNA from 1 species
GAGAAACCUAUUCUUCCAUCCAAAUCCAUGGAUCUAAGAAGCAUGGAAUGAAGGCCCUAUCUCUUGGGCGAUUAUCCUUUGCUUAUGCAAAGAGGAAUCAACAAAGGUAUAAAUUUCUCAACUCACUUUGUUUUGAGUUAAGUAUUGGUUCACCUAACUACUAGGCUUUGAAUUUAAUGGGUAAUGUUUUGUUUUGAGUGCAUGCAAGCAUGAUUCCGUCUUUAAUUGUUAAUUGCAUGCUAUGGAUGUUGCUCAAAUGAACAUGUUUUUCACAAAAUUUCCUUCAAGUGGUAUCAGAGCCUAGGUCUAGUAGUUGGUGAAUCCUUUUGGGUUUUGUAUUUUCAUAGUUUAUGAUUUGAAUGUUGUAAUUGUUACAAACUUUAUUCUUGCUUCUUUGAAUGUAAAUUUUGCUAGAAAAUUUGCCAUCUCAAAUGUUGUAGAUGUAGUUCAUAUGAGCAUGAAUUUUGGAGCUAAAAUUUGGUGCCAUGUUUUUGGGGAUUUUCUGCCAAAUCCGAAGGGUGGAUUUUUGGGUUCCUGUUUGACUUGUUAAAAGUGUUUUAAGGUGACUUUUGGAACCCCUAAGUACCCUAGGAUGUUAACCCCAUUUGAGAAGUGAAAAUUUGAGUUUUAUUGAGUGAAAAUGUUCAUGGAACUCUUAUGGGUUUUCAUGGAUAUUCUUCAUUGUUCUUGAGGUUCUUACCAAGAACAAAAAGUUUGAUGUUUUGAUUCAAAGUGUUGGUUAAUUUCAUAAAGUCUUUGUUUUGUGUUGGUUGGUGUGACUUAUCUAUCAACAAAAACAUUUAUUGAAAUUUUGAAAGGUGAUAGAAAUGGUGAUGGGUGUGUAAGAAGUACUUCUCUACACACACACCACUUGCAUGGCUUUAUUCACACCAACCUAUUUCCACUUGCAUGGCUUUAUGACUUUGUUGAAAUAUUUUCAAAAAUUUUGAUGGUUUCACUCUCCAAAACCGGCCACCCUACAAGUGGGGUGUUUUUGGGGCUUUUAUGCAAUUACAUAAAGUUUUGAUACUUUUGUGUAUUUUGUAGUUUGACCCAAAAGUUUAUGUAUUUACGUAAAGGCCCAAAAUCAUUAAUGGACAAAUUGUUUUGUUCCUUUAAUGAAGUUUUUAAAUUUGUUGAAAUUUUUGGGUUCUAGUUGUAAUUACAUGAAGUAGUGGACUUUUGUGUUUUUACAAAAUGAGCUCAAAAGUUUAAGUUUUGCAACAUAGCCCAAAAAGUUAAGGUUAUUGCAUUUUGGCCCAAAUUAGAUUGAGAACAAAAUGGUUUUGUCUCUUUAAAUGAGAAUUGGAUUUUCAUUUCAUUUAGCUCCAUUUAAAUCAAUUAUAUGGAUACAAAAACCAAAUGACAUGUUGCAUUCAAAGUUUAAUUAGUUAAAGCGUUAAUUAAUUAAAGGGUGAUUAUGAACCUAAGCCUACGAUAAUAGGAAAACUAAUGAAAAGGGCUUGAAAACUUUGAGUUUUAAUGAUAAGGACAAAAUAAAGGGUAAAGUGAAUAGUACCAGGAUUGACUUUUUAGUGUAAAAAUGUGGUUUUUCGUUAAAAUGAACAGUACCGGGUGCUUUUCGUUAAAGUUCCCUACGAUAAUUGAGCUAUGUGAAAGGCCGUUUCAAAUUUGUUUGAACCAUGGGAAUGUGUAGAUUAGAUUUUGGUUGUAAUUUGAUUUGAUCAAAUGUUGUAAAAGAGCAUAAGCUCUUCUUUACUUUAAAGUAAUUUGUACUAUUCAAAUGUUGUAAAGAGCAUAAGCUCAUCUUUACUUUGAAGUACUCCUUUCUUGUUUUAUUUGAUAUGCAUGAAAAUGGAGUAGCGGGUCCAACGCCCAAUAAGACAACACGCCUUAAUGUGAUUAAACGCGUAACUAAAAUCAAUCACCAUCCCUAGACCGAGAUUCAACACUA